rnacentral:rRNA from 1 species
GCUUACGGCCAUACCAGCCUGGGUACGCCCGAUCUCGUCUGAUCUCGGAAGCUAAGCAGGUUCGGUGCCUGGUUAGUACUUGGAUGGGAGACCGCCUGGGAAUACCAGGUGCUGUAAGCA